rnacentral:rRNA from 1 species
GGUAACACCCGUUCCCAUUCCGAACACGACGGUUAAGCCUUUAGAAGCCGAUGGUACUGCACGGGAGACUGUGUGGGAGAGUAGGUGGUCGCCA